rnacentral:rRNA from 1 species
UACAGAGGUCUCGAGCGUUGUUCGGAUUUACUGGGCGUAAAGGGUGCGUAGGCGGUGGCGUAAGUCGGUUGUGAAAUUUCGGGACUCAACCUCGAAACUGCACCCGAUACUGCGUCGCUUGAGGACUGUAGAGGAGUGUGGAAUUCACGGUGUAGCAGUGAAAUGCGUAGAUAUCGUGAGGAAGACCAGUGGCGAAGGCGACACUCUGGGCAGUUCCUGACGCUGAGGCACGAAGGCCAGGGGAGCAAACGGG